AAUUUUGGAAAUAAAUUUUCAUAAUUAUUCAGACUAUGAUAUUGUGAUUGUGUACCUAGUGGCAGCCCAGUGGGUGUAUAGUAUUCUUCACUUUUGGGUUUAGUUGGCUGGACUAUAUACUCUGCGCAGUUAAGGCCUGGGUCAGGCACUGAUAAGAUUAAUUUUAUUCAUUGCCAACAUUUAUGUAGAUCAUGUAGAUCAUGUAGUGUUAAUGAGAUUCAUAAUGUUGAUUAAUGUUAUUCAUUGCAUGUGACGUCAUAAGGUCAAUGUAUUUGCCGAGGGGUCCGCAACGGCCAGGAAUCUCGUACAAAAUUUUUGGAAUCUCAACUGAAAUCUUGAAAUCUCACUUGGAAUCUUGAAAUCUUGUGGAAUCUCUGGAAUCUUGUGGAAUCUCUGGAAUCCCUUGGAAUCUCUGAUUUCUCUUGGAAUCUCUUGAAAUCUCUGGAAUCUUGUGGAAUGUUAAUGAGAUACCCGUAAACGUAUAUAAAUAAUCUGUAUACUUCGCCGUAGAUUAUUAUUGAGGUUGCAGUAGCCUCGAGACCAGGCCGAUUAUCGAGGCUACGGUCGCAGUUGCGGUUGCAGGCUCAGCUGCUAUUUACAUCUCUCUCUCUAGCUCUAUGAGAAUCAUACUCAUAGCAGCUCUGUGUGCAGAUUAUAGACGAUUCCUAAAGAGAUUAAGGCUGAACAGCAAAGUGAUGACAAAGCUCUCCCAAAAUCAGCUCCAAACUGCCCACUCUUAAUGCCGAGAGUGAGCUUAUGGUUGAGUGAGUCUGAUGCAGUACCAGCGUAAUAAUUUAUAGUUGAAAGUUGCAUAAUUAUAUAUAGAUCUAUGCAUCACAGGACGGACGAAGCGAGGGACAAGGUUCCAAGUCCAAACUGUCCACUCUUAAUGAGAGUGAGCUUAUGGUGGUAUGCAGUACCAGCGUAAUAAUUGUUGUCAUGAAAGUUUGUAUAUGCAUCACAGGAUGGACGAAGCGAGGGACAAGGCUCCCCUUCUCAUCUUAAUGGUAGUGAGCUUAUGGUGCCGGAUGGACAAAGCGAGGGACAAAGCUCUCCCAAACCAAAUGACUGUGCACUGUUUGCAGCUACAUAUUGUACCAGCAUUGCACAUGGACUAGAUCCAUGUUCCCUCGUUUACGACCAGCAGCAAAUGAGGGACCACUUGUACAAGUGUUUCACUACAAAAACAAUGGAUCUCUUUACUGUCUUCCGAACAAAAAGACCAGGACCUGCACGCACUUUGAAAAUCCCUGUCUAUUGCUACUGUCGAUGUGCAGAUGAUGGCCAAGGAAUGGUAGGCUGUGACGGAUGUGAAGAUUGGUAGAUGCAUCAACGCCGCCAAAGUAAAAAGGGAUUAUGGUAUUGCAACCAAGUGUCAAUAAAGUAGUUAGAAUCAAUGACUUUAUAGUCAACAAGUAUAGUCUUUAUAAUUAUUUUAU